AUACGUAGGGGGCAAGCGUUAUCCGGAUUUAUUGGGUUUAAAGGGAGCGUAGGUGGGAUAUUAAGUCAGCUGUGAAAGUUUGGGGCUCAACCUUAAAAUUGCAGUUGAUACUGGUUUCCUUGAGUACGGUAUAGGUGGGCGGAAUUCGUGGUGUAGCGGUGAAAUGCUUAGAUAUCACGAAGAACUCCGAUCGCGAAGGCAGCUCACCGGGCCGGAACUGACACUGAUGCUCGAAAGUGCGGGUAUCAAACAGGAUUAGAUACCCUGGUAGUCCGCACAGUAAACGAUGAAUACUCGCUGUUUGCGAUACACUGUAAGCGGCCAAGCGAAAGCGUUAAGUAUUCCACCUGGGGAGUACGCCGGCAACGGUGAAACUCAAAGGAAUUGACGGGG
rnacentral:rRNA from 1 species